rnacentral:misc_RNA from 1 species
UGUGGGAGCGGGCUUGCCCGCGAUGAGGGAGUGUCAGUCACCGUUUAUGUCGUCUGACACACCGCCAUCGCGGGCAAGCCCGCUCCCACA